rnacentral:rRNA from 1 species
UACGGGAGGCAGCAGUAAGGAAUAUUGGUCAAUGGGCGGAAGCCUGAACCAGCCAUGCCGCGUGCAGGACGACUGCCCUAUGGGUUGUAAACUGCUUUUGUCCGGGAAUAAACCUAAAUACGUGUAUUUAGCUGAAUGUACCGGAAGAAUAAGGAUCGGCUAACUCCGUGCCAGCAGCCGCGGUAAUACGGAGGAUCCGAGCGUUAUCCGGAUUUAUUGGGUUUAAAGGGUGCGUAGGCGGCCUGUUAAGUCAGGGGUGAAAUACGGUGGCUCAACCAUCGCAGUGCCUUUGAUACUGACGGGCUUGAAUCCAUUUGAAGUGGGCGGAAUAAGACAAGUAGCGGUGAAAUGCAUAGAUAUGUCUUAGAACUCCGAUUGCGAAGGCAGCUCAAUAAGCUGGUAUAGACGAUGAUGCCCGAAAGCAUGGGG